rnacentral:lncRNA from 1 species
CGCGAUUUGCUUUUUGUCCGCUUUUGCUUUUUGUCCGAUUAUUUUGCUUUUUGUCCGAUACUUUUGCUUUUUGUCCGUUGCUUUUGUCCGUUUUGCUUUUUGUCCGAUAAUUUGCUUUUUGUCCGAUACUUUUGCUUUUUGUCCGUUGCUUUUUGUCCGUUUUGCUUUUUGUCCGAUAAUUUUGCUUUUUGUCCGACACUUUUGCUUUUUGUCCGUUGCUUUUGUCCGUUUUGCUUUUUUUUUUAGCUCACCUGGACCAUAGGACUAAGUGAGCUUUUCUCAUUUUCUCAUUAUUCGUCGUCGUCAUUAAUUUUUACAAAAAUCUUCUCUUCUGAAAC